rnacentral:rRNA from 1 species
GAUGAACGCUGACAGAAUGCUUAACACAUGCAAGUCUUUGGCGAAGCUGUGCUUGCACAGCCUAGCCAAGGCGGACGGGUGAGUAACGCGUAAGGAACUUGCCCUGCAGUCAGGGAUAACAGACGGAAACGACUGAUAAGACCUGGUAAAGUCAGGCGGACUCAUGUCCAGCCUGAUGAAAAGAGAUGCUGCAGGAGAGCCUUGCGUCCUAUUAGCUUGUUGGUGGGGUAACGGCCCACCAAGGCGAUGAUAGGUAGCCGGCCUGAGAGGGUGGACGGCCACAAGGGGACUGAGAUACGGCCCUUACUCCUACGGGAGGCAGCAGUGGGGAAUAUUGGACGAUGGGGGCAACCCUGAUCCAGCAAUUCUGUGUGCACGAUGAAGGUUUUCGGAUUGUAAAGUGCUUUCAGCAGGGAAGAAAAAAAUGACGGUACCUGCAGAAGAAGCGACGGCUAAAUACGU